rnacentral:misc_RNA from 1 species
UAAGAGGGAGAAGAGGUGUCAAU